ACCGAAGUCAAGCAUCAUUGGGCGCGGUCAGUACUUGGGUGGGUAACCACAUGGGAACACCGAGUGCCGUU